AACCUAGCACACCUGCGGUGUGUACCUGCGGAGGGAUCAUUGCAGUUUGAAGUGGAGAGGUUGGAUGGGGAUGAUCUGGUUCAUCGUCAUUGAAUUUGGUUCAUCGUCAUUGAAUUUGGUUCAUCGUCAUUGAAUUUGGUUCAUCGUCAUUGAAUUUGGUUCAUCGUCAUUGAAUUUGGUUCAUCGUCAUUGAAUUUGGUUCAUCGUCAUUGAAUUUGGUUCAUCGUCAUUGAUGAAUUU
rnacentral:misc_RNA from 1 species